GAUGAACGCUGACAGAAUGCUUAACACAUGCAAGUCAACUGUGGCGGACGGGUGAGUACCGCGUAAAGAACUUGCCUCACAGAUAGGGACACCCUUUGGAAACGAAUGCUAAUACCUGAUACUGUGAGAGAGCUUUGCGUCCCAUUAGCUAGUUGGAGAGGUGACGGCUCACCAAGGCGAUGAUGGGUAGCCGGCCUGAGAGGGUGAUCGGCCACAAGGGGACUGGGAAACGGCCCUUACUCCAACUGGAGGCAGCAGUGGGGAAUAGUGGACAAUGGACCAAAGUCUGAUCCAGCAAUUCUGUGUGCAAGAUGAAGUUUUCGGAAUGUAAAGUGUUUUCAGUUGGGAAGCGGUACCAACAGAAGAAGUGACGGCUAAAUACGUGCCAGCAGCCGCGGUAAUAC
rnacentral:rRNA from 1 species